GCGCCCGUAGCUCAACGGAUAGAGCAUCUGACUACGGAUCAGAAGGUUGGGGGUUCGAAUCCCUUCGGGCGCGCCC
rnacentral:tRNA from 2 species